rnacentral:rRNA from 1 species
UACGUAGGGACCAAGCGUUGUCCGGAAUCAUUGGGCGUAAAGCGCGCGUAGGCGGCCCUGUAAGUCCGUUGUGAAAGUCAAAGGCUCAACCUUUGAAAGCCGAUGGAUACUGCAGGGCUAGAGUCCGGAAGAGGCGAGUGGAAUUCCUGGUGUAGCGGUGGAAUGCGCAGAUAUCAGGAGGAACACCAAUAGCGAAGGCAGCUCGCUGGGACGGUACUGACGCUAAGGCGCGAAAGCGUGGGGAGCGAACAGG